GGGGUUAUGGCGCAGUGGUAGCGCGUCCGCUUUGCAUGCGGAAGGGCAAGGGUUCGAUCCCCUUUGACUCCA
rfam:Arthrobotrys oligospora ATCC 24927 unplaced genomic scaffold scaffold00169, whole genome shotgun sequence.